UACGUAGGAUUCGAGCGUUAUCCGGAUUUAUUGGGUUUAAAGGGAGCGUAGGCGGGUUGUUAAGUCAGUUGUGAAAGUUUGCGGCUCAACCGUAAAAUUGCAGUUGAUACUGGCAUCCUUGAGUGCAGUAGAGGUAGGCGGAAUUCGUGGUGUAGCGGUGAAAUGCUUAGAUAUCACGAAGAACUCCGAUUGCGAAGGCAGCCUGCUGGGCUGUAACUGACGCUGAUGCUCGAAAGUGUGGGUAUCAAACAGG
rnacentral:rRNA from 1 species